rnacentral:rRNA from 1 species
AUUGAACGCUGGCGGCAGGCCUAACACAUGCAAGUCGAGCGAGCGGCGGACGGGUGAGUAAUGUAUGGGGACUGCCCGAUAGAGGGGGAUAACUACUGGAAACGGUAGCUAAUACCGCAUACUAUCGGAUAACCCAUAUGGGAUUAGCUAGUAGGUGAGGUAAUGGCUCAACUAGGCGACGAUCCCUAGCUUGUCUGAGAGGAUGAUCAGGCACCCUGGGACUGAGACACGCCCCCGCCUCCUACGGAGGCAGCAGUGGGGAAUAUUGCACACUGGGCUCAAGCCUGAUGCAGCCAUGCCGCGUGUAUGAAGAAGGCCCUAGGGUUGUAAAGUACUUUCAGUCGGGAGGCGUUACCGACAGAAGAAGCACCGGCUAACUCCGUGCCAGCAGCCGCGGUAAUAC